rnacentral:rRNA from 1 species
UACAGAGGUCCCGAGCGUUGUUCGGAUUCACUGGGCGUAAAGGGUGCGCAGGUGGGUUGGCAAGUUUGAUGUGAAAGCCCCGGGCUUAACCCGGGAAUGGCAUUGAAUACUGCUGAUCUGGAGGAUCGGAGGGGGGACUGGAAUUCUUGGUGUAGCAGUGAAAUGCGUAGAUAUCAAGAGGAACACCAGUGGCGAAGGCGAGUCCCUGGAAGAUACCUGACACUGAGGCACGAAAGCCAAGGGAGCAAACAGG